AGCAGCCGCGGUAAUUCCAGCUCCAAUAGCGUAUAUUAAAGUUGCUGCAGUUAAAAAGCUCGUAGUUGAAUUUCGGAACCAAUAUGUUGGUUGUGCCUCGGUACGUACUGGCAUUGUUGGUUUCUCCCUUCUGACGAACUAUGAUGUCAUUAAUUUGGUGUCAUGGGGAAUCAGGACUGUUACUUUGAAAAAUUAGAGUGUUUAAAGCAGGCUCACGCUUGAAUACAUUAGCAUGGAAUAAUGAAAUAGGACGUUUGAUUCUAUUUUGUUGGUUUCUAGGAUCGACGUAAUGAUUAAUAGGGAUAGUUGGGGGCAUUAGUAUUCAAUUGUCAGAGGUGAAAUUCUUGGAUUUAUUGAAGACUAACUACUGCGAAAGCAUUUGCCAAGGAUGUUUUCAUUAAUCAAGAACGAAAGUUAGGGGAUCGAAGACGAUCAGAUACCGUCGUAGUC
rnacentral:rRNA from 1 species